CAUUGCUGUGUUCAACAACUGCACUGAGAUUGUUAAAAUACUGAUUGAUGCAGGUUGUGACCUGGGCUUGUUUGAUUAUCGGCUGCAAACAGUUUUGCACAUAGCAGCAGAACACGGAUACCAGAACAUAGCUGAACUGAUCCUCCUGGCUGGAGUUAACCUCGAACUACUCGACAAGCAGAAAAAGACAUCAUUGGACAUUGCAGCUAGAAGCAAUCAUGUAAACGUGGUAGACAUGAUUAUCAAAGCU